CCAGACUCCUACGGGAGGCAGCAGUGGGGGAUAUUGCACAAUGGGGGGAACCCUGAUGCAGCGACGCCGCGUGGGUGAAGGAGUGCUUCGGCAUGUAAAGCCCUAUCGGCAGGGAAGAAGCAAGACGGUACCUGACUAAGAAGCCCCGGCUAACUACGUGCCAGCAGCCGCGGUAAUACGUAGGGGGCGAGCGUUAUCCGGAUUCACUGGGUGUAAAGGGAGCGUAGACGGCCAUGCAAGCCAGGGGUGAAAGCCCGGGGCCCAACCCCGGGACUGCCCUUGGAACUGCAUGGCUGGAGUGCGGGAGGGGCAGGCGGAAUUCCUGGUGUAGCGGUGAAAUGCGUAGAUAUCAGGAGGAACACCGGCGGCGAAGGCGGCCUGCUGGACCGCGACUGACGUUGAGGCUCGAAAGCGUGGGGAGCGAACAGGAUUAGAUACCCCAGUA
rnacentral:rRNA from 1 species